rnacentral:misc_RNA from 1 species
CGGCCUUCCCAUUUGGCUUUGCCUGUAUAGCAGCUACAAGCUUGUCUGCGUCAUCUAUCUCUCGUAGAUAAAAUAUGUUGUUGGCAUCUGCUCCUUGAACGCCAAAAUCGGAGAGCCUUAUGACCGUGGAACCAGUAGCAAUAAUCAAAAUGUCAUAUGUAAAGGUUGCACCAGCUGCACUAGUAAGAGUCUUGGAAGGAAGAUCUGCCUUCACUAUUUCUGUGCUCAGUAGCAGUUCUAUACCUUUUUCAGUAUACCAUUCAGGAAGCAGUCUCUCUCCCCCACUUCCAACACACACAUGAAAU